rnacentral:tRNA from 1 species
UCUCUGAUGGUCUAGUGGCUAAGAAUCUGCACUCCCAGUACAGGAGACCUGGGUUUGAUUCCUGGUCACAGAA